rnacentral:rRNA from 1 species
AGAGUUUGAUCAUGGCUCAGAUUGAACGCUGGCGGCAUGCCUUACACAUGCAAGUCGAACGGCAGCACGGGAGCAAUCCUGGUGGCGAGUGGCGAACGGGUGAGUAAUACAUCGGAACGUGCCCAGUAGUGGGGGAUAACCCGGCGAAAGCCGGACUAAUACCGCAUACGACCUACGGGUGAAAGCAGGGGAUCGCAAGACCUUGCGCUAUCGGAGCGGCCGAUGUCAGAUUAGCUUGUUGGCGGGGUAAAAGCCCACCAAGGCGACGAUCUGUAGCUGGUCUGAGAGGACGACCAGCCACACUGGGACUGAGACACGGCCCAGACUCCUACGGGAGGCAGCAGUGGGGAAUUUUGGACAAUGGGCGCAAGCCUGAUCCAGCCAUGCCGCGUGCGGGAAGAAGGCCUUCGGGUUGUAAACCGCUUUUGUCAGGGAAGAAACGCUCCGGGCUAAUACCUCGGAGUAAUGACGGUACCUGAAGAAUAAGCACCGGCUAACUACGUGCCAGCAGCCGCGGUAAUACGUAGGGUGCAAGCGUUAAUCGGAAUUACUGGGCGUAAAGCGUGCGCAGGCGGCUUUGCAAGACAGAUGUGAAAUCCCCGGGCUUAACCUGGGAACUGCAUUUGUGACUGCAUGGCUGGAGUGCGGCAGAGGGGGAUGGAAUUCCGCGUAGCAGUGAAAUGCGUAGAUAUGCGGAGGAACACCGAUGGCGAAGGCAAUCCCCUGGGCCUGCACUGACGCUCAUGCACGAAAGCGUGGGGAGCAAACAGGAUUAGAUACCCUAGUAGUCC